AUUGAACGCUGGCGGCAGGCCUAACACAUGCAAGUCGAGCGAGCGGCGGACGGGUGAGUAAUGUCUGGGAAACUGCCUGAUGGAGGGGGAGAACUACUGGAAACGGUAGCUAAUACCGCAUACCAUCAGAUGUGCCCAGAUGGGAUUAGCUAGUAGGUGGGGUAACGGCUCACCUAGGCGACGAUCCCGAGCUGGUCUGAGAGGAUGACCAGCCACACUGUAACGGAGACACGGUCCAGACUCCUACGGUAGGCAGCAGGGGGGAAUAUUGCACAAGGGGCGCAAGCCUGAUGCAGCCCUGCCGCGUGUGUGAAGAAGGCCUUCGGUUUGUAAAGCACUUUCAGCGGGGAGGCGUUACCCGCAGAAGAAGCACCGGCUAACUCCGUGCCAGCAGCCGCGGUAAUAC
rnacentral:rRNA from 1 species